UGGGGAAUAUUGGACAAUGGGGGCAACCCUGAUCCAGCAAUGCCGCGUGUGUGAAGAAGGUUUUCGGAUUGUAAAGCACUUUCGACGGGGACGAUGAUGACGGUACCCGUAGAAGAAGCCCCGGCUAACUUCGUGCCAGCAGCCGCGGUAAUACGAAGGGGGCUAGCGUUGCUCGGAAUGACUGGGCGUAAAGGGCGUGUAGGCGGUUUGUACAGUCAGAUGUGAAAUCCCGGCUUAACCUGGAGCUGC
rnacentral:rRNA from 1 species